AGACUUCCUGGAGAAGGCACAGCUGAGUGGAGCUCCUAGAGAAGACAGCCAGGCAAACACAUGCAUUUUAAACAGGAUGGGUGGGAAGCUGAGUGAGUGAAGGCAGAUAGUCCAUGGAGAAGCUGUGCACAGACCAGUCACCUUGGCAGUAACAGAGUCUUCUGUUUAUUCUGAGAGCACCUGGAGCCAGGGAAGGUGAGAUGUCAUUAGAUGGUAGCAUUUUGAAAAGGAUCCUGCUUAAGUAGGGUAUGAGGAACAGAUUCGAAGAGUCCAGACUAAGAACUGAGGAGUGGUAGAAACCGUAACAGUGGGUGUGGAAAGGGAAUUAACAAACCAGAGGACCAACCAUUUGAGAACAAACCAGGCAAGACUUGCUUCUGAGUUGGAUAUUGGGAAUACAGAGCAGAGGAAAAGAGGGCAUGGAGAGCUCCAGGGCAGGUUUGCAGAACAAGGUCAUUUUGGUCAAGCAGAGUUGGAGUGUCUUUGAGACAUUCCAGAAAAACACCAAAUUAAGUUGGAUGUGUGAGGAUACCUAUAAUGCAGAGGUCAGAUGAGUGUAGGACGUCCACAUACUAUUGGGCAAUGAAGACAGCACUGUGGAUGCAGAUAUGGAAGGAGGUAUUGUUUUCUGUACAGUGGACACGGUGGUGGGCUUCGGGAGGAAGGCUUAUUUCUAACUGAAUGGGCCCUCUCCUGUGAACCAGGGUAUGGAAAGAAACAUUGUUUUUGAAGGAAUAGAUGUCAAGUAUAGAAAGGGAAGGAGUUCCUGAUGGAGCUUGAUGGGUUAGCAUCUUCCACUGUCUCUGUGGGUACAGUCAGCUCUGGAAGACACUGGUGCUCUGAGGACUGUUUACAGCACUGUCACCACACAGUCUUUUCAGGCUCUCUCAGUUCAGUGAGCUCUUCUCACGGAUGAAUCCAGGUAACGGUUCACUGUGUACACUGUUGUCUUCUAUGAGAUGUGCUCUUGUCUCUCAGAAACAACUGUUAUAAAACAGUGUAGUCAUAUAUGUGAGAUGUCUAAAGUCAGAGCUUGGUUACUUAAGGAGCCACAGAUUCCCAGGAUGCAGAAUCACCGAGGGAUAAGGGGAUGGUCCACAGAUUGUAAUGCCCCAAAGAACGGAGGCUCACAAAUUCCAUGACUGCUAACAUUUGGUUCAGGGCCUUUUCAGCCUGUGGAAGUGCCCAAUGGUUGAGGAAACAGAAGAAUUGUUCUACAGCCUCCUAGCUUCACAUGGAGUCAGAGACCUUACCGUAGCAGCAGUAGCAGCUGCACCACACCAACUUCUUCAGCAGACCCCGUGCUCAGAACCUGCAUUUCAACAGGUUGCUGUUGUUGUUUGUUUGGUAAAGAUUUACUUAUUUAUUAUAUGUAAGUACACUGUAGCUGUCAUCAGACACCAGAAGAGGGAAUCAGGUCUUGUUACAGAUGGUUGUGAGUUACCAUGUGGUUGCUGGGAUUUGAACUCAGGACCUUCAGAAGAACAGUCAGUGCUCUUAACCGCUGAGCCAUCUCUCCAGCCCCCCGUGAUUCUUUUUUAAAAUUUAAAAUUACAGUUUAUAAUUUUCUGUGUGUGGAUGUAGUGUGUGUGUGUGUGUGUGUGUGUGUGUGUGUGUAUUAAGCAGUGGGCAAGUUCUAAGAGUUAGUUUUCAACUUUACCCACGUGGACCCCAGUCAGACUUGGUGACAAGUUACCUGCUGACAAGGUGACUGACUUAGUUACCUGCUGAGCCAUCCCACAGGCUCCCCCUGGUGAUUGCUAAUGCACAUGAAACUUUGAGAAGCAUGACUCAGCAGGUCUGGUGUGGUGGAUAAAGGGAAGGAUAGCAGCCAGAGAAGGAACACUGCACGUUAGGAUGUAAGAGAGGACCCCAUAAGAGAUGGCCAGGAUCCAAAAAGCUGAGUAGAAGGGAAAGGAGAUGUGAGAUCACAGGCAGAAUACUGAGAAACUAUUAGCCAAAGAAGGCCUACUGACCUCCUUCUCCAGGAGGAGAGAAGGUUUAAGCCAGAUGAUGAUGAUGACAGUAACUUCGUUGACUCAGGAGCUCUACAUUAAAUGACAUUUCACAACUGU
rnacentral:lncRNA from 1 species